CCCUAAAAGGUGUACUUGAUUUGGUCCAUAUUUUUAUUUGUUCUAACCAAUAACUACGUUAUUAAACUUGUUUUAAGGAAAUCAAUGCUGGCACUGCAUGCAAUUAUCUUAUAUCUAUUGGUCAUAAAAUUACCAAAUAUGAUUAAACAAGGAUAAAGGCUGUGGAUUUUCUAUAAAAAUUCCAUAUGUUUAGCAUUGAAGCAACACAAGGGUACAUAAUCCUAAAUACUUUCCUAGAUGCAUCAGUUUGUCUGUUCUCUUAAUAGAUAUGUGUGUGUAAAAACAGCCAUAUUUUUCAAUUCCCUCAGAUGAACCUUUAACAUUAUGAAUAUCCGGUAAUUGAACCCAUGUGUAUGGUUCAAGAGGAGCAGAAUAAAAUCUUGAUUUGUCUUGAUAUAUAAAAAAAAAAACACUUCUGUUUUCUGUUUAUACAAUUUACAAGGCCUUUGAAAUUCGCUAUUUAUACAAGACUAUUCUAGGAUCUAUUUUGCUGGAGCUCACCUUCACUAGUUUGGUCGGAGUAUUUUAAAAACAUUUUCUGUUAUUUUACUUACAAGAUAAAAUGAAAGACCAAUUAACAGAGACAAAGGUUGAGGAAAGGAUAUAUCAGGUCACGACGGGUCAAUUCUUAUUUUUGAACCUGAAACCCAGAGUGCAAGUACCCCUUUGGAAAAAACGGUCACUGCGACUCAACAAUGUGACAAAUGUGGGAAAACAUACCAAAC